AUUUCAGGAUGUCCCGACAAUUUUCUCCAAUUCAUAGAAGCUGAAACUCUGGCCGAUACAUUCAAUUACCUUAAACUUGAGUAAUUAAAUU